AAAAGAGGGAUGCAACACGAGGACUUCCCGGGAGGUAACCCAUCCUAGUACUACUCUCUCCCAAGCACGCGUAACUAAAGGUCAAAAUUUAGAGUUGACAAAAUAUCAAUGGAUAUGUUCCAUUGUCCUGCUUCUUUCAUCGGAUGGCUCUCUUUGGGCUUUUCGAAAAGGUAUCAUAUGCCAAGUUUGGCCUCACUGUAUAAAAGUUAUAGAGUCAUAAAGUUUUAACCAAAGAAAAAAAUUAAAAAAAAAGAGGGAUGCAACACGAGGACUUUCCAGGAGGUCACCCAUCGUAGUACUACUCUCGCCCAAGCACGCUUAACUGCGGAGUUCUGAUGGGAUCCGGUGUAUUAGUGCUGGUAUGAUCGCAUCCGUUAGUAUAUGCAAUGCAAUCGUAUAUAUUCUUUUUUGAAGACUUGAUGAACCAUUCGCCGUGGGUCCCACACGCUAUGUAGGGAUACCCCAUCUAGUCUUAACGAGCUUUGAUGCGUGAAAAAAUUCGAAAACAAUGCUUGAACAAGUAAUUUUGGGUCCGUAAUAUAGCCUAAAUCACAAAAAUGCCCAAAAAAGUACUUAAAGGUCAAAAUUUGGGGUCGACAAAAAGUCAAUGGAAUUGUUCCAUUGUCCUGCUUCUUUCGUUAGAGGGCUCUAUUUGGGCUUUCCAAAAAGGUAUCACAUGCUAAGGUUUGCCUCACGGUAUGAAAGUUAUAGUCAUAAAGUUUUAACCAAAAAAAAACAAAUUAAAAAAAAGAGGGAUGCAACACGAGGACUUCCCGGGAGGUCACCCAUCCUAGAACAACUCUCCCCCAAACACGCUUAACUAAAGGUCAAAAUUUGGAGUCGACAAAAAAUCAAUGGAUAUGUUCCAUUGUCCUGCUUCUUUCAUUUGAGGGCUCUCUUUGGGCUUUACGAAAAGGUAUCAAAUGCCAAGUUUGGCCUCACUGUAUAAAAGUUAUAGAGUCAUAAAUUUUAAUCAAAGAAAAAAAUUAAAAAAAAAAAGAGGGAUGAAACACGAGGACUUCCCGGGAGGUCAACCAUCCUAGUACUACUCUCACCCAAGCACGCUUAACUGCGGUGUUCUGAUGGGAUCCGGUGUAUUAGUGCUUGUAUGAUCGCAUCCGUUAGUAUAUGCAAUGCAAUCGUAUAUAUUCUUUUUUGAAGACUUGAUGAACCAUUCGCCAUGGGUUCCAUCCGCUAUGUAGGGAUACCCCAUCUAUUCUUAACGAGAUUUGAUGCAUGAAAAAAUUCUAAAACAAUGCUUAAACAAGUAAUUUUAGGUCCGUAAUAUUGCCCAAAUCACAAAAAUGCUCGAAAGAGUACUUAAAGGUCAAAAUUUGGGGUCGACAAAAAGUCAAUGGAAAAGUUCCUUUGUCCUGCUUCUUUCGUCGGAGGGCUCUCUUUGGGCUUUACGAAAAGGUAUCACAUGCCAAGUUUUGCCUCACAGUAUAAAAGUUAUUGAGUCAUAAAGUUUUAACCAAAAAAAACAAAUUAAAAAAAAGAGGGAUGCAACACGAGGACUUCCCGGGAGGUCAUCAUCCCAGUACUACUCUCCCCCAAGCACGCUUAACUAAAGGUCAAAAUUUGGAGUUGACAAAAAAUCAAUGGAUAUGUUCCAUUGUCCUGCUUCUUUCAUCGGAGGGCUCUCUUUGGGCUUUUCGAAAAGGUAUCACAUGUCAAGUUUGGCCUCACUAUAUAAAAGUUCUAGAGUCAUAAAGUUUUAACCAAAGAAAAAAAUUAAAAAAAAAGAGGGAUGCAACACGAGGACUUCCCAGGAGGUCACCCAUCGUAGUUCUACUCUCGUCCAAGCACGCUUAACUGCGGAGUUCUGAUGGGAUCCGGUGUAUUAGUGCUUGUAUGAUCGCAUCCGUUAGUAUAUGCAAUGCAAUCGUAUAUAUUCUUUUUUGAAGACUUGAUGAACCAUUCGCCAUGGGUUCCACCCGCUAUGUAGGGAUACCACAUCUAUUCUUAACGAGCUUUGAUGCAUGAAAAAAAUCUAAAACAAUGCUUGAACGUGUAAUUUUGGGUCCGUAAUAUAGCCCAAAUCACAAAAAUGCUCGAAAGAGUACUUAAAGGUCAAAACUUAGGGUCGACAAAAAGUCAAUGGAAAAGUUCCUUUGUCCUGCUUCUUUCGUCGGAGGGCUCUAUUUGGGCUUUCCAAAAAGGUAUCACAUGCUAAGGUUGGCCUCACGGUAUAAAAGUUAUAGAGUCAUAAAGUUUUAACCAAAAAAAGACAAAUUAAAAAAAAGAGGGAUGCAACACGAGAAUUUCCCGGGAGGUCACCCAUCCUAGAACAACUCUCGCCCAAGCGCGGUUAACUAAAGGUCAAAAUUUGGAGUCGACAAAAAAUCAAUGGAUAUGUUCCAUUGUCCUGCUUCUUUCAUUUGAGGGCUCUCUUUGGGCUUUACGAAAAGGUAUCACAUGUCAAGUUUGGCCUCACUAUAUAAAAGUUAUAGAGUCAUAAAGUUUUAAUCAAAGAAAAAAAUAAAAAAAAAAUAGAGGGAUGAAACACGAGGACUUCCUGUGAGGUCACCCAUCCUAGAACUACUCUCACCCAAGCACGCUUAACUGCGAUGUCCUGAUGGGAUCCGGUGUAUUAGUGCUUGUAUGAUCGCAUCCGUUAGUAUAUGCAAUGCAAUCGUAUACCUUUUUUUUUGAAGACUUGAUAAACCAUUCGCCAUGGGUUCCACCCGCUAUGUAGGGAUACCCCAUCUAUUCUUAACGAGCUUUGAUGCAUGAAAAAAUUCUAAAACAAUGCUUGAACAAGUAAUUUUGGGUCCGUAAUAUAGCCCAAAUCACAAAAAUGCCCGAAAAAGUGCUUAAAGGUCAAAAUUUGGGGUCGACAAAAAGUCAAUGGAAAUGUUCCAUUGUUCUGCUUCUUUCGUCGGAGGGCUAUCUUUGGGCUUUCCAAAAAGGUAUCACAUCCCAAGUUUGGCCUCACGGUUUAAAAGUUAUAGAGUCAUAAAGUUUUAACAAAAAAAAACAAAUUAAAAAAAAAGAGGGAUGCAACACGAGGACUUCCCGGGAGGUCACCCAUCCUAGAACAACUCUCGCCCAAGCGCGGUUAACUAAAGGUCAAAAUUUGGAGUCGACAAAAAAUCAAUGGAUAUGUUCCAUUGUCCUGCUUCUUUCAUUUGAGGGCUCUCUUUGGGCUUUACGAAAAGGUAUCACAUGUCAAGUUUGGCCUCACUGUAUAAAAGUUAUAGAGACAUAAAGUUUUAAUCAAAGAAAAAAAUAAAAAAAAAAUAGAGGGAUGAAACACGAGGACUUCCUGUGAGGUCACCCAUCCUAGAACUACUCUCACCCAAGCACGCUUAACUGCGAUGUCCUGAUGGGAUCCGGUGUAUUAGUGCUUGUAUGAUCGCAUCCGUUAGUAUAUGCAAUGCAAUCGUAUACCUUUUUUUUUGAAGACUUGAUAAACCAUUCGCCAUGGGUUCCACCCGCUAUGUAGGGAUACCCCAUCUAUUGUUAACGAGCUUUGAUGCAUGAAAAAAUUCUAAAACAAUGCUUGAACAAGUAAUUUUGGGUCCGUAAUAUAGCCCAAAUCACAAAAAUGCCCGAAAAAGUGCUUAAAGGUCAAAAUUUGGGGUCGACAAAAAGUCAAUGGAAAUGUUCCAUUGUCCUGCUUCUUUCGUCGGAGGGCUAUCUUUGGGCUUUCCAAAAAGGUAUCACAUCCCAAGUUUGGCCUCACGGUUUAAAAGUUAUAGAGUUAUAAAGUUUUAACCAAAAAAAAACAAAUUAAAAAAAAAGGAUGCAACACGAGGACUUCCCGGGAGGUCACCCAUCCUAGAACAACUCUCGCCCAAGCACGCUUAACUAAAGGUCAAAAUUUGGAGUCGACAAAAAAUCAAUGGAUAAGUUCCAUUGUCCUGCUUCUUUCAUCGGAGGGCUCUCUUUGGGCUUUCCGAAAAGGUAUCACAUGCCAAGUUUGGCCUCACUCUAUAAGAGUUAUAGAGUCAUAAACUUUUAACCAAAGAAAAAAAAGGGAUGAAACACGAGGACUUCCCGGGAAGUCACCCAUCCUAGUAUUACUCUCACCCAAGCACGGUUAAUUGCGGAGUUCUGAUGGGAUCCGGUGUAUUAGUGCUGGUAUGAUCGCAUCCGUUAGUAUAUGCAAUGCAAUCGUAUAUAUUCUUUUUUGAAAACUUGAUGAACCGUUCACCAUAGGUUCCACCCGCUGUGUAGGGAUACCUCAUCUAGUCUUAACGAGCUUUGAUGCAUGGAAAAAUUCUAAAACAAUGCUUGAACAAGUAAUUUUGGGUCCGUAAUAUAGCCCAAAUCACAAAAAUACCCGAAGAAGUACUUAAAGGUCAAAAUUUGGGGUCGACAAAAAGUCAAUGGAAAAGUUCCUUUGUCCUGCUUCUUUCGUCGGAGGGCUCUCUUUGGGCUUUCCGAAAAGGUAUCACAUGCCAAGUUUGGCCUCACGGUAUAAAAGUUAUAGAGUCAUAAAGUUUUAACCAAAAAAAACAAAUUAAAAAAAAAGAGGGAUGCAACACGAGGACUUCCCGGGAGGUCUCCCAUCCUAAUACUACUCUCGCCCAAGCCCGCUUAACUGCGGAGUUCUGAUGGGAUCCGGUGUAUUAGUGCUGGUAUGAUCGCAUCCGUUAGUAUAUGCAAUGCAAUCUUAUAUAUUCUUUUUUGAAGACUUGAUGAACCAUUCUUCGUGGGUCCCACCCGCUGUGUAGGGAUACCCCAUCUAGUCUUAACGAGCUUUGCUGCAUUGAAAAAAUUCUAAAACAAUGCUUGAACAAGUAAUCUUGGGUCCGUAAUAUAUCCCAAAUCACAAAAAUACCCGAAAAAGUACUUAAAGGUCAAAAUUUGGGGUCGACAAAAAGUCAAUGGAAAAGUUCCUUUGUCCUGCUUCUUUCGUCGGAGGGCUCUCUUUGGGCUUUCCGAAAAGGUAUCACAUGUCAAGUUUGGCCUCACGGUAUAAAAGUUAUAGAGUCAUAAAGUUUUAACCAAAAAAAACAAAUUAAAAACAAAGAGGGAUACAACACGAGGACUUCUCGGGAGGUCACCCAUCCUAGUACUACUCUCGCCCAAGCACGCUUAACUAAAGGUCAAAAUUUGGAGUCGACAAAAAGUCAAUGGAUAUGUUCCAUUGUCCUGCUACUUUCAUCGUAGGGCUCUCUUUGAGCUUUUCGAAAAGGUAUCACAUGCCAAGUUUGGCCUGACGGUAUAAAAGUUAUAGAGUCAUAAAGUUUUAACCAAUAAAAAAAAUUAAAAAAAAAGAGUGAUGCAACACAAAGACUUCCCGGGAGGUCACCCAUCCUAGUACUACUCUCGCCCAAGCCCGCUUAACUGCGGAGUUCUGAUGGGAUCCGGUGUAUUAGUGCUGCUAUGAUCUUAUCUGUUAGUAUAUGCAAUGCAAUCGUAUAUAUUCUUUUUGGAAGAAUUGAUGAACCAUUCGCCGUGGGUCCCACCCGCUGUGUAGGGAUACCCCAUCUAGUCUUAACGAGCUUUGAUGCAUGAUAAAAUUCUAAAACAAUGCUUGAACAAGUAAUUUUGGAUCCGUAAUAUAGCCCAAAUCACAAAAAUACCCGAAAAAGUACUUAAAGGUCAAAAUUUGGGGUCGACAAAAAGUCAAUGAAAAAGUUCCUUUGUCCUGCUUCUUUCGUCGGAGGGCUCUCUUUGGGCUAUUCGAAAAGGUAUCACAUGCCAAGUUUGGCCUCACGGUAUAAAAGUUAUAGAGUCCUAAAGUUUUAACCAAAAAAAACAAAUUAAAAAAAAAGAGGGAUGCAACACGAGGACUUCCCGGGAGGUCACCCAUCCUAGUACUACUCUCGCCCAAGCACGCUUAACUAAAUGUCAAAAUUUGGAGUCGACAAAAAAUCAAUUGAUAUGUUCCAUUGUCCUGCUACUUUCAUCGGAGGGCUCUCUUUGGGCUUUCCGAAAAUGUAUCACAUGCCAAGUUUGGCCUCACUGUAUAAAAGUUAUACAGUCAUAAAGUUUUAACCAAAGAAAAAUAUUUAAAAAAAACGGAUGCAACACGAGGACUUCCCUGAGGUCACCAAUCCUAGUACUACUCUCGCCCAAGCACGCUUAACUACGGAGUUUUGAUGGGAUCUGGUGUAUUAGUGCUGGUAUAAUCUCAUCCGUUAGUAUAGGCAAUGCAAUGGUGUAUAUUCUUUUUUGAAGACUUGAUGAACCAUUCGUCGUGGGUCCCACCCGCUGUGUAGGGAUACCCCAUCUAGUCUUAACGAGCUUUGAUCAUGAAAAAAAUUCUAAAACAAUGCUUGAACAAGUAAUUUUGGGUCCGUAAUAUAGCCCAAAUCACAAAAUACCCGAAAAAGUACUUAAAGGUCAAAAUUUGGGAUCGACAAAAAGUCAAUGGAAAAGUUCGUUUGUCCUGCUUCUUUCGUCGGAGGGCUCUCUUUGGGCUUUCCGAAAAGGUAUCACAUGCCAAGUUUGGCCUCACGGUAUAAAAGUUAUAGAAUCAUAAAGUUUUAACCAAAAAAAACAAAUUAAAAAAAAAGAGGGAUGCAACACGAGGACUUCCCGGGAGGUCACCCAUCCUAGUACUACUCUCGCCCAAGCACGCUUAACUAAAGGUUAAAAUUUGGAGUCGACAAAAAAUCAAUGGAUAUGUUCCAUUGUCCUGCUUCUUUCAUCGGAGAGCUCUCUUUGGGCUUUCCGAAAAGGUAUCACAUGCCAAGUUUGGCCUCACUGUAUAAAAGUUAUAGAGUCAUAAAGUUUUAACCAAUGAAAAAAAUUAAAAAAAAAGAGGGAUGCAACACGAGGACUUCCCGGGAGGUCACCCAUCCUAGUACUACUCUCGCCCAAGCCCCCUUAACUGCGGAGUUCUGAUGGGAUCCGGUGUAUUAGUGUUGGUAUGAUCUUAUCUGUUAGUAUAUGCAAUGCAAUCGUAUAUAUUCUUUUUGGAAGAAUUGAUGAACCAUUCGCCGUGGGUCCCACCCGCUGUGUAGGGAUACCCCAACUAGUCUUAACGAGCUUUGAUGCAUGAAAAAAUUCUAAAACAAUGCUUGAACAAGUUAUUUUGGGUCCGUAAUCUAGCCCAAAUCACAAAAAUGCCCGAAAAAGUACUUAAAGGUCAAAAUUUGUGGUCGGCAAAAAGUCAAAGGAAAAGUUCGUUUGUCCUGUUUCUUUCGUCGGAGGGUUCUCUUUGGGAUUUCCGAAAAGGUAUCACAUGCCUAGUUUGGCCUCACGGUAUAAAAGUUAUAGAGUCAUAAAGUUUUAACCAAAAAAAACAAAUUAAAAAAAAAGAGGGAUGCAACACGAGGACUUCCCGGGAGGUCACCCAUCCUAGUACAAUAUUCGCCCAAGCACGCUUAACUGCGGAGUUCUGAUGGGAUCUCGUGUAUUAGUGCUGGUAUGAUCGCAUACGUUAGUAUAUGCAAUGCAAUCGUAUAUAUUCUUUUUUGAAGACUUGAUGAACCAUUCGUCGUGGGUCGCACCCGCUAUGUAGGAUACCCCAUCUAGUCUUAACGAGCUUUGAAGCAUGAAAAAAUUCUAAAACAAUGAUUGAACAAGUAAUUUUGUGUCCGUAAUAUAGCCCAAAUCACAAAUAUGCCCGAAAAAGUACUUAAAGGUCAAAAUUUGGGAUCGACAAAAAGUCAAUAAAAUUGUUCCAUUGUCCUGCUUCUUUCGUCGGAGGGCUCUCUUUACGCUUUCCGAAAAGAUAUCACAUGCCAAGUUUGGCCUCACGGUAUAAAAAUUAUAGAGUCAUAAAGUUUUAACCAAAAAAAACAAUUUAAAAAAAAAGAAGGAUGAAACACGAGGACUUCCCGGGAGGUCACCCAUCCUAGUACUACUCUCGCCCAAGCACGCUUAACUAAAGGUCAAAAUUUAGAGUCGACAAAAAAUCAAUGGAUAUGUUCCAUUGUCCUGCUUCUUUCAUCAGAGGGCUCUCUUUGGGCUUUCCGAAAAGGUAUCACAUGCCAAGUUUGGCCUCACUGUUUAAAAGUUGUAGAGUCAUAAAGUUUUAACCAAUGAAAAAAAUUUUUAAAAAAAGAGGGAUGCAACACGAGGACUUCCCAGGAGGUCACCCAUCCUAAUACUACUCUCGCUCAAGCACACUUAACUGCGGAGUUCUGAUGGGAUCCGGUGUAUUAGUGCUGGUAUGA
rnacentral:lncRNA from 1 species